ensembl:lncRNA
CCCUCUGGUCCGUACGUCGGCCCCACGCUCUGUGCGCCUAGACUCUUCGGCUCGCUUUUGGAGGCUCACGACUUCACCUGCCAGACGGGGCCGGGACAGGUUGAGGAGGCCCAACGCCACGCCGUCACCGCUGCCGGGCCGGGGAGGAAGAGAGAGGCGGGCCCCGGCUUGGCCGCCAGGACUUAUGAUGGUGGCUCACGCUUCGCAAAGCUGUUGUUGACCACCAGGAACUGAAACGAGGGAAAGUAUAACCAUGGAUAAGAGAGGAUUACUGCAUAUCUAUACUGUGGGAUUCUACUCAGCAGUAAAAAGAAAUGAGCUAUUGACAUACAUAACAAUGUGGAUGGACCUCUGAGGCUCUACGUUGAAUGAAAAAAAAAAGGAAUGAAUUUGGGAGUAUUGCUUCCCUUUCAAUUUCAUUGAAGAGUUUAAACAGUAGUGGCAUUAGCUCCUCUCUAAAUGUCUUAUAGAAUUUGGCAGUAAAACCAUCAGGACCCAGGCUUUUCUUAGUUGGUCCAUACCCAGGCUUUGAAGUCCGAGGCAUCAAAUGACACAACUCUGUAUGGCUCCUCAAUUGCAGCCACAGGAAAGAUUCUGGACUGGGACCAUCUAGCUGAGUGACUCCUCCAUUCUUACCUCCAUGAAGAUGUGAUGUCUCCCUCCUCCUCAUGGCUUGUGACUUUGGCCUGCUGCCUGGUGCCACUCUUCCUGGAUUGCACUCCCCAGUGUUGGGCACUCAAAAGGAAAUCAGAUGGAGCCUCGAGAAGGCCACAGUAAUCAGUUCAAUGUGAAAUUAUUACAAUAGAGGUACAGUGCUCUGGAGUGCAGCUUAUCAAGGAGGGAGCAAGCAGAUAAGUUGUACAGCAAGAAGAUGGAGUAGUCACCAGGUUGUUUUGUCAACUGUAAUUGGAUCCCGUACUCUACCCACAAUAAUGGUGUUCCUGGGAAGAAGUCAUGAGCUUUGGGCAUAUGUAACCCUCUUAUGCAUUACUAGUAACAAAGGAGAACAUUUUACACCACUGGAAUAAACAAACUGUAGGGAUACCUACACCAGCUGAAAAACAACAGAUAAAACACUCUCUGCACAAGUAAUUGUAAGACCACACCUUUAACACAUUACCAAUAGCUGCUUUCUCAAAACAUUUCCUUGUUCCUUGGGGGAAGUCACUUUUAAAUGAUAGUUAUAGUGCUGGUGAGGUAGCUCAGUGGUAGAGAACUCAAGGCCUUUGGUUCAGUCCCCAGGACCAUCAAAUAAAAAAGGUGAUAGUCCAUAGACAAUUGGGCUCUUGUUUUUUGUUAUUGUAAACUAGGCAACACAAUUUUUGGUACUUGUUCAGUCUGUAAAGAAAUCCUUCCCAUCCCUAACUGUGAGUCUCCACAGUGGAAAGAAAGAAAGGUGCCUCCAGGACAAAGAACAGAUAAAUGAGAAGGAGGACAGAGGACAUUCCAUUCCUAACUCAGCCAAAGGUUGACAUUUCACAAAGAAUAUGUGGACAUCCAUGUUGUGUUGACAAAGCCCCAUGCCUGGGUACCGAGGUGUCCACAAGGAUGAGGGGACACGGAGCGCCCAGUUGUUGUAGCCACAGUAGCAGGGACGAUUGAACACUUGGGCACCUGAUCUUGUUCUUCCUUUCAAAGGAACUUGCACGGUCAUUCAGGCUGGGUUAGAGUUGUGCAGGUGGAAAGAAAUCUGCUGCACACACCUUGGACUUGGAAUACAUUUUCAGAGAGAAGAGAAAUAGUCCCAGGUCCCCUCAUCACUGGAAAACAGACUUUUGACUAACAUGGCAGAAGGAAGAUCUUUCUUGGGUUUGGCCUUGCCUGAAGGUAUAAAAAACACUUCUACUUGUUAAUUUUUUCAUGAUUAUUUUUUAGACACUAAUGGAGAAAGUUCUACUAUUCUCAAAAUGAUAUUUUUACGUUUAAAGCGACUCACAUUUUCCCUCCAAUGCAUCUAACCUCAAUGGACCCAACAUCAGAAAGAAAUUAUAGUUUUGCUUUUGGCAGAAUCAGAUAUAAUCAACAAAAGUUCAUAAAGUCAAGUAAACUUUGAAACAUAUGCCACUGUUCUUUUUAAAAAAAACUUUUGUUUUUAAUUAAUUGUAGACUCACAGGAAGUCAUAAAAAUAAUAUAGAGAGUUCCCUAUAGCUUUUCCUCAGCUUCCAAGCUAACACCUUAUCUAACUGCAGUAUACCAUCAAAACCAUGGAAUUGGCACCAACAUUGCUGCUGUUGCCACAAUUCUAUUUGGACAGCUGAAAGUAUAGAAACUGAAAAUUGAAAACCCUAAAGCCUAAGGAAAAAAAAAGACAUUUCAUCUCCUUCUAAGAUCGACCACUAUCAGGUUCAAGUUCAUGUUGGAUGCUCAUUUUUCAGGUUGCUACACUUGGAAAAGAUAAUCAGUUCUUGUUUUGUUUUUUAAACAUUGAACCUUUAAUUACCCUGAUUUCUCUGUGAAAGAAAAUCUAUUAUAGCUGAAACUCUCUGAUUCAAAGAUUGGAGCUAAUUGUUAACUGGUUCAUUGAAAAUAUAGGAAUGAUUGAGAAAAUAAGAUAGAUUUUAUAUACUGUAUCUAACUUGGCUCGUGUAUAUGUUCAUUCUCUGAUCUUUUGUACAGGGUUGCAGGAAAAAAUUUAGUACUUCGAUGAAAAACUAUGCAGCAUCAACUGUGUACCUUAUCAGAUAGAUUCUAUUGGGGUAAUUUUACAAAUCUGUGCAUUUUAGGUAACUGAUAGACAUGCAAAUUAUUCUGCCUACUUGAGACUGGUUUUCCUCUCCACUGUGGAAAAGCCCAUCGGUAUCUAAUCAAUUUAACAUUGUUCCUUAAAAAUUCAUUCUUCUUGGACUUCUCCUUUGAAGGGUUAUAAUAUUUGCCUGGCUCCUUCAUUUGAUGUAUUUAAUAAAAUUCUUUACAUGUGUUCACUUUUAUAUUUGAAUGAAAGUCAUGAUUUUACCUUUUUAUAAAGCUUAUCUUUCAUCAGGGUUUUUUUCUUUGAACAGUUAUUUACUGGUCAGUUUUUCCUCUUUCAGAAAUUACACUCAGACAACAAUGGUGUCCAGUUUAAUUCUCUGUAAGGUGGAAGCAGACCUUAUGGAUAGGUGCAAGAUAACCUGGGAUCUGAACACUUGUAGAUUU